rnacentral:rRNA from 1 species
GACGAACGCUGGCGGCGUGCCUAAUACAUGCAAGUCGAGCGAAUCACUGGGAGCUUGCUCCCGGUGGUUAGCGGCGGACGGGUGAGUAACACGUGGGCAACCUGCCUGUAAGACUGGGAUAACACCGGGAAACCGGUGCUAAUACCGGAUAAUCCUUUCCCUCUCAUGAGGGAAAGCUGAAAGUCGGUUUCGGCUGACACUUACAGAUGGGCCCGCGGCGCAUUAGCUAGUUGGGGAGGUAACGGCUCACCAAGGCGACGAUGCGUAGCCGACCUGAGAGGGUGAUCGGCCACACUGGGACUGAGACACGGCCCAGACUCCUACGGGAGGCAGCAGUAGGGAAUCUUCCACAAUGGACGAAAGUCUGAUGGAGCAACGCCGCGUGAGCGAUGAAGGCCUUCGGGUCGUAAAGCUCUGUUGUUAGGGAAGAAUAAGUACCGGAGUAACUGCCGGUACCUUGACGGUACCUAACCAGAAAGCCACGGCUAACUACGUGCCAGCAGCCGCCGUAA